AUUAUAGGCCGUUCCAAGAUGCUGUCAAAAUUAAAUCAAUAUGGCUACUGGAAGGCAAACAUUGAAUAUUAUUCUAUCAGGUUCUUAUGGUUUUAGAUCAUUUUAGUUGUUGUACAAAGAUUAAUUUAACAUUUUCUCUGGAAGUAUUAAUUUAGAAAGAUAAUAUGCCUCAUUGGUGUUGUGUUUUGAAGUGUGAAAUGCAAAGUAAUCGUGAUAAAGUUAGCUUUUACCACUUACCAUCAGUGCUACAUUCUAAGCACAAAACUGAACCAAUUUAACUAAAUAAGUUAUAGUUAUCAUCUGAGAGACAACAACAAUGGUAAAAUGCAAUAAAAUAUAAAGAUUUUACUAGCAAAAUGGAAAUUCCCCUGUAAUCAUCUUAUAUCUGGUAAGUUACAACAUUUGAACAUUAACGAUUUUUGAAGAUGUUAACAGUCUAAUCUUGUAGGAAAACCAGCUGACUUAACUGAUAAUAACAAUCCAGAUUGGGUUCCUUCAAUAAAUAUGGGGUAUAUAAACACAAUGAAAUGAGUUCCCCAAAAUCUAAAAUGGGAAUUAAGGUACCAAAGGAGAAUUAAAAGAAAAGGGUACCUACAAGAAAAAAUUGCUUUUUUAUUCCUCUUGAAAUGAUUUAUAAGACACUGGACUGUCUUAUAUUCUACAAAUACUAGAAUCAGCUGAGAGAAGUGGUCUACAAAAACCCAGGAAGGAAACGGAAUAUGUGGCUACGAAAGGCAAAAGAAAGGUUUACAAAGCAAAUGUGACACAUUUUUUUGAAAUAUUUAGGAAUAUCAGUAAAUUGCAUUAAAAAAUGUAUGAAAAGAUUUUGUUCAAUAAAAAUGUUUAUAUUUA